AGAGUUUGAUCCUGGCUCAGGACGAACGCUGGCGGCGUGCUUAACACAUGCAAGUCGAACGAUGAACCGGAGCUUGCUCCGGGGAUUAGUGGCGAACGGGUGAGUAACACGUGGGCAACCUGCCCCAGACACCGGGAUAACCUUCCGAAAGGAUGGCUAAUACCGGAUACGACCACUUCGGGCAUCCGACGGUGGUGGAAAGGAUUCUGGUCUGGGAUGGGCCCGCGGCCUAUCAGCUUGUUGGUGGGGUAAUGGCCUACCAAGGCGACGACGGGUAGCCGGCCUGAGAGGGCGACCGGCCACACUGGGACUGAGACACGGCCCAGACUCCUACGGGAGGCAGCAGUGGGGAAUAUUGCGCAAUGGGCGAAAGCCUGACGCAGCGACGCCGCGUGAGGGACGAAGGUCUUCGGAUUGUAAACCUCUUUCAGCAGGGACGAAGCGAAAGUGACUGUACCUGCAGAAGAAGCACCGGCUAACUACGUG
rnacentral:rRNA from 1 species